rnacentral:rRNA from 1 species
CAACUUGAGAGUUUGAUCCUGGCUCAGAGCGAACGCUGGCGGCAGGCUUAACACAUGCAAGUCGAACGGGCGUAGCAAUACGUCAGUGGCAGACGGGUGAGUAACGCGUGGGAACGUACCUUUUGGUUCGGAACAACACAG